rnacentral:rRNA from 1 species
UACGAAGGGUGCAAGCGUUAAUCGGAAUUACUGGGCGUAAAGGGCGCGUAGGCGGGCAGGUAAGUCAGUGGUGAAAUCUCCGGGCUCAACUCGGAAACUGCCGUUGAUACUAUCUGUCUUGAAUACCGUGGAGGUGAGCGGAAUAUGUCAUGUAGCGGUGAAAUGCUUAGAUAUGACAUAGAACACCAAUUGCGAAGGCAGCUCACUACACGAGCAUUGACUCUGAGGCACGAAAGCGUGGGGAUCAAACAGG